UGUCCGCUGCAGGCGGGCGAGUCGCGACGUUUGUAAAUUGCAAACAGACCCACGUGGUUCUGCAGCAGUCCCGGCCAUGCUUGGUGCUGGUGGCCUUCCCCCCCGCGCUUCCUCUUUCCCCCUCCUGCGGCGGCUUCCUUCCUCUCCUUCCUUCCUCGGGAUCUGAGGUCGUCCCCAUCCAAGGGGGUCUGGGGGCCCGGG
rnacentral:lncRNA from 1 species